rnacentral:rRNA from 1 species
UAGGGAAUCUUCCACAAUGGACGCAAGUCUGAUGGAGCAACGCCGCGUGAGUGAAGAAGGUCUUCGGAUCGUAAAGCUCUGUUGUUGGUGAAGAAGGAUAGAGGCAGUAACUGGUCUUUAUUUGACGGUAAUCAACCAGAAAGUCACGGCUAACUGCGUGCCAGCAGCCGCGGUAAUACGUAGGUGGCAAGCGUUGUCCGGAUUUAUUGGGCGUAAAGCGAGCGCAGGCGGAAUGAUAAGUCUGAUGUGAAAGCCCACGGCUCAACCGUGGAACUGCAUCGGAAACUGUCAUUCUUGAGUGCAGAAGAGGAGAGUGGAACUCCAUGUGUAGCGGUGAAAUGCGUAGAUAUAUGGAAGAACACCAGUGGCGAAGGCGGCUCUCUGGUCUGCAACUGACGCUGAGGCUCGAAAGCAUGGGUAGCGAACAGGAUUAGAUACCCUGGUAGUCCAUGCCGUAAACGAUGAGCGCUAGGUGUUGGG